GACCAUCUCUCCCAUCCGUUUCGGACAAGAGAGCUUUGGGGGUCUGCCUGUCUUACCCGGCUCCCCUUAAAUGUCUUAGUGAAUUAUCGAUCCAAGUUGCUUGAUCUUUCACUCUAAUAUACACACUCUUG
rnacentral:misc_RNA from 1 species